CUCGCGCUGAAGGAGUGGAACCUCGCGCUGCUGCUCCUCCAGGCUCCCGCCGACCGGCGCUCCCUCCCCGCCGAGGCUUCCUGCAGCAUCGACAGCGUCGUCUCUCCCUCCAUCUUCCUCCGUGUAAAUAAAAUCCUGAGAGGCACGGAAGGCGUAUUCAAGACCAACGGAUUUUCCUUGUCUAAUUGGUUAAAGAAAAGAUCCGAAGGCUGUUAGAACGAAUCAAUGAAUCCCAAUUCAAAUGGCGGGUAGCACAGUGACACAGCGAUAGAGCUGCUGCCUUACAGCGCCAGACGCCCGGGUUCGAUCGUGAUAACAGUUUUCACAGUGGAAAAGAAGAUGCACCUAGCAUUUAGUGGCCUAGCUCAUACUGAAGUUAUUGUAGGUAAGAAAAUGAUAUUAUUUAAAAAAAAUAAUGUCAUUCAUUCUCCAGGACCUGAGGGUUUCCACAAUGGUGUUUUAAAGAGAAUGUUUCAUGGAUUUCCAUUGAUGUAGUGUUAGAGCAGGUAAUUCAGCCCAACCAACCAUUAAUCCUACCAGGUGGCGAUGGACAGACAGAAGGAAAGAAAGAUUAAUGCCAGUGAGUGGACUGGGUUCUUGUCCCUUGCACCCUCAGAUGUGCUUUGCAUUGUCUGCGGGAGGGGUUCUGGGGGAGUGGACCUGAGCAAUGGCCAUCGGAGACGAGAAGGAUGGCGAGUUUCUGGACUCCAUUAGAUCGGGCACCGCUCUGUGACCAAGAACGUCGAACGGGCGCCUCCUGCAGCAGCAUGGAAUGGUGGAGCAGCUGAAGAGGCACAUCACCUGAUCAAGCCGAUCCCCGCAACUCUAACCCAGUGCCGCUGUCAGGACUAACAAGCCUUUAUGGCUAAGUUAAGACUACUUUUUUUUUUUAAACUUCAGACCUGAAGGGCUCAAGAUGGUGCCUAAAAUGUGGUGACUCUUAUGUACUGACUCCAGUUUGUACUAUUAUCUUGCAGUCUAAAACUUGGUAUGAUUUUGCCUAAUGUAUGGUCACUGAAAUGUUUUUUUUUUUUUAAAUCACUGUACUCGGGUAUGUGAUAAUAAAGUGCCAUUGAACCACAA